GUGCAGCAGCCGCCCGGUAAUACCGGCAGCCCGAGUGAUGGUCGAUCUUAUUGGGCCUAAAGCGUCCGUAGCUGGCUGCGCAAGUCCGUCGAGAAAUCCACUCGCCCAACGAGUGGGCGUCCGACGGAAACUGCACAGCUUGGGACCGGAAGGCUCGAAGGGUACGUUCGGGGUAGGAGUGAAAUCCCAUAAUCCCGCACGGACCACCGAUGGCGAAAGCACUUCGAGAAAACGGAUCCGACAGUGAGGGACGAAAGCCAGGGUCUCGAACCGGAUUAGAAACCCGGGUAGUCC
rnacentral:rRNA from 1 species